rfam:Tolypothrix sp. PCC 7601 strain TTEX B 481 genomic scaffold FDTTEX481_Contig0, whole genome shotgun sequence.
CUAAUCGAAUAAAGAAAGCCGGAGACAGCAGGAGCCAUUGGCUUAAUAUCCUGCCGAGGUUGAAGCUCUAAAUUGCCUGAAGUAGAACCUUUAACGGUGUCAUUACUAUGGCAGCAAGAGUCUUGCUACUAAACCCCGGCCCUAAAAGCUGGGGUUUAUUGUUUGGGUA